AUAUACUAUCUAUUGCAAUGACUAUUGUUUCCCUCUUUAUUUUUCCUACUUUUCAUAAUCCCGCUUAGUGAUUCUUUUAUUUUCUAUUUUACUUUAUUAAUUUUAUUUCUAAUAUAGCUUCAGACACAUUGAAACAACCUCCCAAUAAGGCUUUAGCACACUUAGAUCUAAAGACCAUAUCUAUCUCAAAUUUGAAGAACGCAUAUACCAAUCUAAAGGCUGCAUCAUCGAGCUCUCUUAGACCUGUGGAGGUCGAUAGCCACCGCGAAAAGGAAAAUAUUUCUUCCCAAAGCCAUCUACGCAGCGGUAGAGCUUUUCACACUGGAAACUGGUAGCUCGGGGAGAACAAAAGAAAGAUGUAAGUAUAAUUUUUUGUUAUAGCAUUUUUUUCUUUUCAGAAGAUAAGCAGAUUUCAUUUCAAAAAACUUUGAGAUAUAUGGUAGUGUAAUUGAACGAAGUCUCAUAUUAUUGACAUGUGAAUUUUGGGGGUUUGUUCUAGUAUCAUUCUUUUCUUGUUCUAUUUAUUAAUUUAUUAUCGAGCCGAUCAUUUUGCUUUUGAUUGAAGCAUUUAAUCAAAAGUGGGGAUCUGUUAGAGGUUUUUCAUAUUAUAAUUCAUGUCUAUUUAAAAAUGAUGCCUUGAUUGUGUUAUUUCUGUAUUGGCCAAGAAAAAUAUCUGGAAGUUGUUGCUCUUCCAUGUUUUGAUGGUAUGUUGAACAUUUAGACCCAUAUUUGUGGUAUGCACUUCUUAUUUUUCUUUUACUGACACAGAGUUCUUUUCAUCUUCUAAUUUUGGUACAUAUAUGUUUAUGAAGCAAAAAAUGUUCAUUAAAGAAAAAUGGAUUAUAUGAUUUUGAGAUUAAAACAUCGAUACAACAGACACCACUUUUGAAUUAGAAAUACUACAUUAUAAGAUUGAUUUAAACUACUCUACAUAAAAGUUGCAUUUUUUUGCGGUUACUAUCUUUGUUGUGUGUUGAUACCAAUUUGGUUAUGAAAAGUUCCCCCUAAUUCUGGUUGGCAUAUCGAUAACUUUCUGAUGGAUAUAGCAGAAGGCAUUAGUAACUUGCGUGGUGCUCCAUAUCAUUAGACCAUCUAGUAUAUAUUAUUGUAAAGGAUAUACUUAUAGUUUACAUUUACUGAAUUAAGUUUCAUUAAGAUGCAUCACUUGUAGUAAUUCGUUUGGCAUCCUUAUAGAUGAGUAUUAGAUUAAAAGUUUCUCUACUUGUCAGGUUUCUGCUGUAGACUGAGAAGAUAUCAAUUUCUUAGCCUUCUAUUUAUGAUUAUGUGUAGAAUUGAAUCUUAUGCUACAGUCUUGUCUGUUAAUCUAUUUGUGGCAAAUUAAACCUUCCUUUCGUAAAUCUUAUCUUCGUUUGUUCCUCGUCUUAAUUUUUUUUUUGUAAUUUUAGUGCUGCCUUUUGACUUUUUCGCUUUUACUACUUGCCUUAAACUUUGUUGUCUUGAAUUGCUGGAUAUAGAGAAAUCUUGGAGGCAAUAUUCUCUGCUUUUAUCGGGUAAGAAAGUACCAAUUAUUGCUUAGGAAUUGGAUAAUGGUAAAGUGAACAUCAACUCAAUGUACGAGGUAAUAUUGGCCUUAAUGAUCAAACAACUGGUUUGUACAUGGAUCUCUCUCCUAUAAACCUUGAGACAAGAUUACAAUCACCACUCAAAUAAUUAUUUUUAAUAGCUUUCUUAAAACUUUCCCAUCUUUACAUAAAGACAAUAUUUGUCUAAAGGUUUAUUAAAGAUGUAUGAAGAAUGAAUAAAUAGCUUUGUUGGAGUAAUAGUAAAGUUACAUGCAAUUCAUGUAUUUUCCGGUAAACCACAACUUUAUGAUAGUAUACUUUUCUGUCAUGCUUAACUGUUGAGUGAAAUCCAUUUUGGUCUAUUGCUAUGUUGGAAAAGACAGAAGAUGAGGGGAAUCACUGUUUCGCUAUGUCCUGAAUAGUAAGGGCGAUGUGUAAAAGCUAUUGGUUGGCACUCAUUUGAAGUUAAAAUAUCUAGCUGCUUUUGAGAUUGCUAAGAAAUUGUACAGAGACCAUCUGCACUCUUUCCUCAUGAGACAUCAAGCAAGAUUAAAUCAUAUUUUGGAGUUGUUUCAUGGAGAACUGGUGGAUCAAAUAAGCUAAUGUGUAUAUUGAAGCAGUGAAGAUGAUAUUGAGUCAUAUGAGAUUGUUGAUGAAACAUUAGUUUGUUUAGAUACUUUAGAUUAAUUUGUUUUAGAACUUCUAAUUAAUGUGCGAAAUUCUGUAUGUUACUCGUUGUAUAUUCUAAAUGAUAAUUUUGAUUAUAAAUAAUAGUAUCCUAUCGUGAUUUAUAUAUCA